rnacentral:sRNA from 2 species
AACGGCCAAGGAUCUCAGCCUUCGCCUCCUCCGCUCACUCGAGGGUGAUCUGAUACUCUAGCGAAGGAUCCAAGGCUUUGAAGCGCACACGAAUAGAGCUGAGGUGGGGGAGCUCAAUUGCCCUCCCAAACAAGGACGGCUGGGCAGUUGCUAUCUUGGGCUCUAAAUCAGCAUCCUGUUUUCAUUGGAUGACCAAGAGGAAUAGGAACAAAUAAUUUGUUUGCAGGAUGGAUCAUUUUCGCCCUUGAUGAAAUAAUCCAAAAUUCGACGAUGCGCUCCACCGUUUCCUAAUGCAAAUAUAUCAUUCUUAAAAAUGACUAGAACGCCCUGAAAGCAAGCAUCGACAAGCCUAUAGGACCCACAAACCUAUUUCAUUCCCACCCCUUUCGCGCCAUUACCUCAGGAAAGAAGAACAGUAUGUUGUCUUCCUUGCCAUGAAAACCUCCGAAGCCUACCCAAGUGACUGGAAGGAGAGACAACUCUCGUUGGACCAACCACCAGCAAAGUAAGGCGAGAGUGAGAGAACGCCGAAAGAAACAGGGUCAUCAAACUCAGUGAUAAACUUCGAACAACUACGGACAUGAAAAGGACAUGAAAAAAGGAGUAGCAUUGGCAACGCCCUGUCCGUUGGGCCUCUAUACAGCAGCCUUCGACUUCGGAAUUUCCUCCAAUGGGUGAUUAUUGUGCUUCCCUGCCUCAGGUCAGGGGGUUUUCACGUCUUAAAAAGCGGGUCCGCAACCGCACUUAGUCAGUUGACAUCUCUGAUGCAAACAAGAGUCGACUUAAUUUGUCAAGCAAGACUGAAGCAUGAUGACUCUGCAAGUUGAGAAUGUAUAACGCACCUGUUGGAUGAGAAUCUUCAUCUUAUUGAGUUAAGCAAUCGUCCCGCCUCACAUCCUUGUGGCAGUGCUUGACCCUCAGGGGAUUAAUAAUACCGACACCAGCGAACUCUGUCUUGCCGCCGCCAUGCCUGGGUUGUUGUCAGCAUAAAAUGGUAUCAACUCUGCUCAACAAGCAGUCUGCCAAGAUUAUCGAGAAAUUCUGAGGUUUGUGCCCAGUUUCUAAUUAAAAACUCACCCGCAUUCUAUCUAUUUUGGAAAUGUGGGCGUACCAGGGAAGCAUUUGACGGGCUAGGAACGUUGCAUCACCUUCACCAUUUUCCGAUAUGGGGCUGUAUUUGACAAACGCAUUACAUAAAGUGACAAAUCAGGAUUCAGAAGAUAUGACGCUUCCCCGGCCACUUUGAAUGCGUGCAACGUGAAUUCUGCCUUGCUCAGCAUCAGGCCUCCUGAUAUUGUUUCCGCUGAUGUCAGCCUGGCAGUAUCCUCUAAGGCUCUAACCAUUUCCUUUCAGUCUAUUACCAUAGCCAUGUGGCCAGCCUCUCCACUGCAUACCAUCUGUUCCGGAUACCAAAGGGGCUGCCUCUAAGCUCCAAGAAAGUUUCAAAGGCCCGCCAAAAUUUCAACAGAUCUCGGCCCUGAUGAGCAUGGCGGACAAUCCCACGCGACAAGGUCUUGGCUUGGAAAAGUUGGAUCCGUGAAUCCAACAAUAACUUCUGGCGGAACCUCGAUAUGUUCAAGCGGCUAAUCAUUUUCGAGCAGGCAAAUUGGCGGUGUAGGAGUAAUGAAUACCGACGACUCAAGUUCCUCCCGAAGCCACUUUUGCAUCCGGCACCAGAGUUCAUGAUUGGCUAGUGGGCCACUGGCGAAGUUGGUUAUGAAAGCCGUUUGCAAGUAGCUGAUGGAGAAUUGAAAAUAAAAGAUAGUUUCGUAGAUGCAUAUUUGGCGCUUACGAUGGACAGGACAUCGAUGCGGCAGUUCAGAUUAGGUGCUAGACUCGACCCUCUUGCUCAUGUCGAUCGAAAAAGAAAUGGGAAAAAUGGGAAAAAAAUAAGGCAAACUUCCUGGUGAGCACUAGCGUGGGUGGCCAUAUUGAAGAGACAUCUUCUUUCAGCGCACUUGAAUUUGGGAGUGGUGAAUCUCACUUAUCUCCAGGAUUCCAGACACCAAUGAAUGAACGAAUGGAUGCAUUCUAUUACAUACUAAAUAAUCCCGACCCAUUCUAUAAGGUGUACCGCUCUUUAGGGAUGAUACGUAGGAUAUUCUGUAGGUAAGCGAGGUCUAAAUUGACAUUGGCGGCCCCAAGGCCACUCAAGGUGUGCGACGCGGAGAGUGUAUAAUUGCACUAAGCUUUCUGAAAGCAGCACUGACAG